rnacentral:rRNA from 1 species
CCCGCGUAAUUUAGGCAUAUUAGUAAGCGGAGGAAGAACUAACUAGGAUUCCCUUAGUAGCUGCGAGCGAACAGGGAGGAGCCCAGCGCCGAAUCCCCGAGACUCAGUUUCGAGGGAAAUGUGGUGUUUGGGAGGGUUCUUAUACCCGAUGCUAUCGCACUGCGUCCAAGUCCAUCUUGAAUGAGGCCACGGUCCCGAGAGGGUGCCAGGCCCGUAGUUGGCCGGUGCUGGUGUUGGGUGAACUUCUCCUUAGAGUCAGGUUGCUUGAGAGUGCAGCCCUAAGUUGGUGGUAAACUCCAUCUAAGGCUAAAUACAACCACGAGACCGAUAGCGAACAAGUACCGUGAGGGAAAGUUGAAAAGAACUUUGAAGAGAGAGUUCAAGAGUACGUGAAACCGCUCAGGGGUAAACGGAAAAGACCCGAAUUUUCCGAAAGGGGAGAUUCACGUCUCCUCGCUGGUCCGGCUUUUCGCUCAUUGCAGACGGUUUCAUGCCUCUCUUCGAACUUGUUCGUUGUGAGCGCUGAAAUCGCCGUGAGUGAGAAUGAAGGAUCGCGGCAGACCGCACUUCUCCCCUAGUAGGACGUCGUGACCCGUUCGGCCAUGGUCUAAGAUUGCAGAAGUGAGCCUGUACGAGAGCUAUUUGCGUAGCUUCCUCGAACAACCUUUUGCAAAUCCGACCAAGGAUGCUCCGGGCGGUAUCAAAAGAUAGUGUCGAACCGCUCUUCUGGAGGAGAAAUCCUUCGUCGAGAGCGCGAUCAGUAUCUGGCAAGGCGCUGAGAUGCGUUUGUCAAGACGGGCCUCCGUCCGUCUUGGCUGCUCUUGGACCUGUUGGUCGGAUUGCUCUUUCGCCGGUUCAAAACUUUGGCACUAGUCUACGGCGUAACAGUUUUGGGCUCUUGUCCGACCCGUCUUGAAACACGGACCAAGGAGUUUAGCGUGUGCGCGAGUCAUUGAGUGAUCAAACUCAAAGGCGCAAUGAAAGUGAAGGAAACUUUACGUUUCUGAGGGAAGAUGAGAUUCAUCCACGGGUGGUCUCCGCACUCCCGGGGCGUCUCUAUCUCAUUGCGAGAGGAGGCGCACCCAGAGCGUACACGCUGAUACCCGAAAGAUGGUGAACUAUGCCUGGCCAGGACGAAGCCAGGGGAAACCCUGGUGGAGGUCCGCAGCGAUUCUGACGUGCAAAUCGAUCGUCGGAGCUGGGUUUAGGGGCGAAAGACCAAUCGAACCAUCUAGUAGCUGGUUCCCUCUGAAGUUUCCCUCAGGAUAGCUUGCGCUCGGGCGAGACGAGUCUCAUCCGGUAGAGCGAAUGAUUAGAGGCCUUGGGGUCGAAACGACCUCAACCUAUUCUCAAACUCCAAAUAGAUGAGAACCCUGGCUUUCUUGAAUCAUGAAGCCAGGGGUUCGGAUCAGAGUGCCAAGUGGGCCAAUUUUGGUAAGCAGAACUGGCGCUGUGGGAUGAACCAAACGCGAAGUUAAGGCGCCUCAAUCGACGCUCAUGUGAGACCAUGAAAGGCGUUGGUUGCUUAAGACAGCAGGACGGUGGCCAUGGAAGUCGGAAUCCGCUAAGGAGUGUGUAACAACUCACCUGCCGAAGCAACUAGCCCUGAAAAUGGAUGGCGCUGUAGCGUCGUGCCUAUACUUCGCCGUCAACGGCAACGCGGGCAGUCUUGUAACGAGACGGCGCUGUUACGCCUUGACGAGUAAGAGGGCCGCGGCGAUGUGCGCAGAAGGGUAUUGGGCGUGAGCCUGCCUGGAGCCGUCGUCGGUGCAGAUCUUGGUGGUAGUAGCAAAUACUCCAGCGAGGCCCUGGAGGACUGAUGUGGAGAAGGGUUUCUUGUGAACAGCUGUUGCACAAGAGUCAGUCGAUCCUAAGCCCUAGGAGAAAUCCGAAGCGAUGGGUUGCCGUUAACAACGAAAAAUUGUUGGCACCAUUCGGGCGAAAGGGAAUCUGGUUCCUAUUCCAGAACCUGGUAGUGGAACCGUUCCAAAUCGGGCCCUCAUCCGAGGACUCGUCAGGGCAACCUGAGAAGACCCGGAGACGCCGUCGAGAGAUUCAGGGAGAGUUGUCUCUUCUCUAUAAGCGUUCGAGUUCCCUGGAAACCUCUAGCAGGGAGAUAGGGUUUGGAACGCGAAGAGCACCGCACUUACGGCGGUGUCUGAAUCUUCUCCACGGACCUUGAAAAUCCGGGAGAGGGCCACGAGGAAUCCCACGCCAGCUCGUACCCAUAUCCGCAGCAGGUCUCCAAGGUAAAAGCCU